ACAUUUAGUUAUUUAUUAAGUCUUUUCACUUUUUUGUGAAAAGACUUAUUGUAUUUGUUCUGAUUAUUAUUAUUAUUAAGUCUUUCCACUUUUCUGUGGAAAGACUUAUUGUUUUUCUUCUGAUUAUUAUUAUUUUUUUUUUUCCGCCACAUUCUGAAAUUUUUGUUUUGCGAUAUGUCGCUUAGAUAUUUUGUAUAUUGUAUCGUAUAGUUUAUACGGUUUUAAAUCUCACCCUGCGAAGACGAACAAUUUUCUUUGUAAGAGUUAUCUCCCUAUUCACUGUUUAUUAUCUGUGUGCAUCUCCUUUGUAACAGAAAAAGAUAGCGACAAAAUUCCUUUUACAAAUUGUUCGAUACAUCCUCAGGAAUUUUUGGCUAAUUUUGAUCGAAGCGAUUCGAUGACAUUUUAUAGGAGUUAUCUACCUUUACAAAAUAAAUUUGUCGGUAUGUUUUUUUAACUCAUAAACAGUUAACCGUAUAACCCUGGAAUGUUUUUAUUUGGGGCCCCUAGGUCCUAACUUAGAAAAUGAGGUCAAGGUCAAAGGUCGAGGUCAAGUUCUCAAUUGUGACUUUUGCUUGUUUUUGCAUUUUUCUCCGACACUUUGAAAGAUACAUAUAAAAGAACAAGUGCAAAAUGUCUGCUUUAUUGUAAUGAAGAUAUGCUACAUUUAGUCUUAUACAAUUUAAUGGCAUCUUAUAGGAGUUGGUGCCCCUGAAAUGUCAUGAUAUGAGGUUAUUUGAUUAUAACUUCAACUAAGUUCAUUAUAAAGGCAUUUGACCUUUUACAAAAGGUUAGGUGACAAAUGACCUUGAAAAAUGACUACCGGAAGUGACCUUGAGAAAACCGGAAGUAGCCUUUUUUGCAAAUUUUACAUUUAAAAGUACUCAGAAUCCAUAUAUUUUGUCAUAUAGAUACAUAAACUGAUUACUGACGACUAAAAAUGACUUCCAACAAACCGGAAGUGACCAAUUAU
rnacentral:lncRNA from 1 species